GCAAUCACCUUUUGCANAGGGAUAGCCCAGAGAAAUUUGGAUUAAUACUCAUAGUAUAGUACUUUGGCAUCAAGGAACUAUUGAAGUCACAACGGCAAGAGAUGAGCAUGCGUCCCAUUAGCUAGUUGGUAAGGUAACGGCUUACCAAGGCUACGAUGGGUAGGGGUCCUGAGAGGGAGAUCCCCCCACACUGGUACUGAGACACGGACCAGACUCCUACGGGAGGUAGCAGUGAGGAAUAUUGGACAAUGGGCGCAAGCCUGAUCCAGCCAUGCCGCGUGCAGGAUGACGGUCCUAUGGAUUGUAAACUGCUUUUGUACAGGAAGAAACACUCCCUCGUGAGGGAGCUUGACGGUACUGUAAGAAUAAGGAUCGGCUAACUCCGUG
rnacentral:rRNA from 1 species